CUUGCAUGAAUUUAACAGCUCUUGCAAGAAACUCUGAAGAUGAAUUCAGUUUAGCCAACCUGGUAUUAUUUUAAAGACUUGAGUUUCAAGAUCUGUCUGACAGAGGAAAGCAACGUGAUCAAGCAUGUGAUCAUGCAGAUGGAACCACCAACCAAUGUGCCAGACUCAGACGCAGACGAAGACGAAGACAAAGACGCAGACUCAAACUCAGACGAAGACUCAGACCAAGACCAAACCAAGACCAAGACCAAGCCAGCUAAGACUAAAAAACAACUAAGAACAUAGAUAAUAAACCAAGGUUAAUGAUGCCAUUCACAUGCCUUUGCUACUAUUCAAUCAAUAUUAACCAAGCAGCUAUACUUGUAAUCUUAUCAUUUGAUUAUAAUUUGACUCAUGUUGUACACAUCCCUUGUGACUUUGCUCUGUAAAACUUUCAUAGAGAAGUGGGGUCAUUGGCCACUCCUUUGGGACCCUGUCUGUCUCUCAGGAGUUAAUCUUUUUCCCCAUUCCUAUUUCCUGUCCCUAUUGCCCAAUAAGUUUUCCUAUUCUAAUAAAACGAAGUAUUUCACAGA